AUCUAUCUAACGAGUCCCAAAUAGGACAAAGUGUGCGUCGUGGAU
rnacentral:hammerhead_ribozyme from 1 species